UGCUGUAAAGCAUAAGCUCCUCCUCAUGCAAGGCUCAGUUUAAGCUACAGACAUCACUUUACUUUAAAGUCCUGGUUUCAAGAGGUGUGUGUCUGUACCACCCUAACAAUCGUCAGAAUGCAUGCUUGGCUGAACGUUUUACUGAUUCUCACUGCAUUCCAAUGUGGAAUCAGAGGAGACAGUGUGACCCAGCCAACAGGACCUGUGACAGCUGUUGAGGGAGACGCAGCUAUGCUCAACUGUACAUUUGAGACCACAGAUCCAAGUCCAAACCUUUUCUGGUACAAACAGGAAGCAACUGGCUACCCCAAGUUUGUACUGAUGAGGUUAAGGCAUGGGUCUGGGAACAAUGACCCUGAGUUCAAGGAGAGAUUUAAUGCUACUCUGGUCUCCACCUUGGUUCCUUUGAGGAUCCAGAGUGUGCAGCUGUCUGAUUCUGCUAUCUACUACUGUGCUCUGAGGCCCACAGUGACUAAACGUUAUACAGUUCCUGUACAAAAACCUGCUGUGCUGCACAACACAUGA